CAGCAGCCGCGGUAAUACGAAGGGUGCAAGCGUUACUCGGAAUUACUGGGCGUAAAACGUGCGCAGGCGGUUGUGUAAGACAGGUGUGAAAUCCCCGGGCUUAACCUGGGAACUGCGCUUGUGACUGCACAGCUAGAGUAUGGCAGAGGGGGGUGGAAUUCCACGUGUAGCAGUGAAAUGCGUAGAGAUGUGGAGGAACACCGAUGGCGAAGGCAGCCCCCUGGGCCAAUACUGACGCUCAUGCACGAAAGCGUGGGGAGCAAACAGGAUUAGAUACCCCUGUAGUCCCUGUCUCUUAUAC
rnacentral:rRNA from 1 species